CUGAACAAGUGAGACUGACCAGGUGAGACGGACCAGAUGAGACUGUCCAGGUGAGACGGACCAGAUGAGACUGUCCAGGUGAGACGGACCAGAUGAGACUGUCCAGGUGAGACUGACCAGGUAACCUAGACAAGUAAGUUGAGAUUGUACAGGUAACCCUGACCAGCUGUGACUGACCAGGUGAGACUGACCAGGUGAGACUGACCAAGUGAGACUGUCCAGGUGAGACUGUCCAGGUGAGAAUGACCAGGUGAGAAUGACCGGGUGAGACUGACCAGGUGAGACUGACCAGGUGAGACUGACCAGGUAACCUAGACAAGUAAGUUGAGAUUGAACAGGUAACCCUGACCAGCUGUGACUGACCAGGUGAGACUGACCGGGUGAGACUGACCAGGUGAGACUGUCCAGAUGAGACUGACCGGGUGAGAAUGACCAGGUGAGACUGUCCAGGUGAGACUGACCAGGUGAGAAUGACCAGGUGAGACUGUCCAGGUGAGACUGACCAGGUGAGAAUGACCAGGUGAGACUGUCCAGGUGAGACUGACCGGGUGAGAAUGACCAGGUGAGACUGUCCAGGUGAGACUGACCGGGUGACUGACCAGGUGAGACUGACCAGGUAACCUAGACAAGUAAGUUGAGAUUGAACAGGUAACCCUGACCAGCUGUGACUGACCAGGUAAACUAGACCAAAUGAGACCAAGUUAGACUUACUAGGCAACCUAGACCACGUAAGACUGAGCAAGUUAGACUGACCAGGUGAGACUGACCAUAUAAGCUAGACCAGGUAAGAUGACCAGGUGACAGUGACCAUCAUGUCAAAUGAACUAUGACCAAUAGAGACCUGGUUUUCAGGCUAUGAGGU